UGGACAUGGGAGAUGGACAUGGGAGAUGGACAUGAGAGAUGGACAUGGGAGAUGGACAUGGGAGAUGGACAUGAGAGAUGGACAUGGGAGAUGGACAUGGGAGAUGGAGGUUUAACCCCUUUAUUUCAUAGCAGAGACUAUAGGCCUAGACGAUCAUAAUAGGGUACUGCAAAAUAACCCUGGAGUAGGUCUAUGCUAAUAUAGACUGAAUAACCCUGGAGUAGGUCUAUCCUAAUAUAGACUGAAUAAACCUGGAGUAGGUCUAUCCUCAUAUAGACUGAAUAACCCUGGAGUAGGUCUAUCCUCAUAUAGACUGAAUAACCCUGGAGUAGGUCUAUCCUAAUAUAGACUGAAUAACCCUGGAGUAGGUCUAUCCUAAUAUAGACUGAAUAACCCUGGAGUAGGUCUAUCCUAAUAUAGACUGAAUAACCCUGGAGUAGGUCUAUCCUAAUAUAGACUGAAUAACCCUGGAGUAGGUCUAUCCUAAUAUAGACUGAAUAACCCUGGAGUAGGUCUAUCCUAAUAUAGACUGAAUAACCCUGGAGUAGGUCUAUCCUAAUAUAGACUGAAUAACCCUGGAGUAGGUCUAUCCUAAUAUAGACUGAAUAACCCUGGAGUAGGUCUAUCCUAAUAUAGACUGAAUAACCCUGGAGUAGGUCUAUCCUAAUAUAGACUGAAUAACCCUGGAGUAGGUCUAUCCUAAUAUAGACUGAAUAACCCUGGAGUAGGUCUAU